AUGGAAGGGACUGCCCAGGGCUGCAAAUACCGGGCGGGUCUUCAUGUGACACUAGGGGUGCUUCCCCUCAGCCUGGGCCUUGAGGCCCCCAAACCUUCCAAACUGCCCAUCAGGGUUGGGGCCUGUCCAUGGGCUUCAGGGUGCUUGAGAGGGCUCAGGCCUUUGGGCUGGGUGCAGACACAUCGCUUCUCCCACCAUGCCUCCCCUGGGGCCCUUGCUCAGCCUCUCUGGUCCCCUUGUGUCUUUCAGGGGACUGCGCUGGCCAGGAUCUCGCCACCACCUCAACAAGGCUUGGGAAGAUUAGCAGCCACCCGGAAGGUCAACUACAUAGAGGGCUUGCUCCGAUCUGGACUGAAUAUGAAUGCAGUCGAUCAUGCCGCUGCACUGUUCUUCACACCACGACAGCUGGGUCCAGUCUUGACAGGAGGCCAAAGGCUCCACCCACAAGGCACAUGGCUUGUCAGCAACAACACAGGUGGGCUGCCCCCCGCAAUCCUGAACCUCGAAAUCCUCGUUGAGCCUCCUCCUCUCUCAGGGAAGUCCACAGGGAAGCUUAGCGGCCACUCAGAUGGGCGUCUAGACGGAGGGCUUGCUCCUAUCCCAAAGAGGCUGGACCCGGUCGAUCGUGCCGCCGCACCCUUCUGA
rnacentral:lncRNA from 12 species